UAUGAUUAGCUAUUUAUAGCUAGGAUUGUAUAGAGGGUAGUGGCAGUCGCCCCAACUCCGACAAAUGCGUGAGAAUUUAAUUUUUUCGUACAUUUGUAAGGUGAGAAACAACUAACAAGUUGGAAACUUUGAUUUUAUCAAGAAAUUGAGGAACUGU
rnacentral:sRNA from 12 species